rnacentral:rRNA from 1 species
UGGGAAUUUUGGACAAUGGGCGCAAGCCUGAUCCAGCCAUGCCGCGUGCGGGAAGAAGGCCUUCGGGUUGUAAACCGCUUUUGUCAGGGAAGAAAUCUUCUGAGUUAAUACCUCGGGAGGAUGACGGUACCUGAAGAAUAAGCACCGGCUAACUACGUGCCAGCAGCCGCGGUAAUACGUAGGGUGCAAGCGUUAAUCGGAAUUACUGGGCGUAAAGCGUGCGCAAGGCGGUUUUGUAAGACAGAGGUGAAAUCCCCGGGCUCAACCUGGGAACUGCCUUUGUGACUGCAAGGCUUGAGUGCGGCAGAGGGGGAUGGAAUUCCGCGUGUAGCAGUGAAAUGCGUAGGUAUGCGGAGGAACACCGAUGGCGAAGGCAAUCCCCUGGGCCUGCACUGACGCUCAUGC